GUUGAAUGUUACAUUUCCUUGUUCAAGUUUUUUUUAACUAAUUUUGAAUGUUACAUUUUCUAUGUUAAAUCUCAAAUAAGAGACUCCAUCAUUAAAUGUAUUAGUUUUCGCGGUUAUUCAGCUUCUUCUUCUCCUCCGGAAAAACACGACCGCAUUGCAUUGUGAUAUACCCUAUUUAGUGCACUACAUCCAUGAUAGGGAACGAUUUCGAACACAGCUACAGAGAACACACCAACCGCUUGACGCGAUGUUUACCGUUUAAUGGAAAAGAAGGCUCGUCGCCUUUAUUAUGUCCGUCGUCGUCGCAUGCACUAUGCGUCAUCCAGCUCAGGUUGCGUAGGCGUGCGUGUGCGCGUGUCAGCUCAUUAGCAUCUGUACCGUAGCGGCCCGUACCGUAGCAGCACACCUCUCCCAAGUGGCCAUAUUGGCCUGGCCUGUCCAGACUGGCCACACUCACACUGGCAGAUUUGAGCACGGUUAGGUGUGAAAACGGCCACGGCCAGAUGGCCUAGUGUGAGUGCACCCUCAGUACCAAGUGCGACCAGAGGGCGCCGAACCUGCGUUGAGUUUUACUCAAUGGCUCCCCUGCCGCAGCUCGCCUGCCAUGUGGUUAACUUAAUCAGUUAAUUGGUUGAAUCUGGUGCGUUUCACUUAAGAGGGAACCGGACAGUAGGCUACGUUGUUUUCCUCCAAUGUUUGGCAGUGUAGCGUCUCCCAAUCGCGGUUAAAGACUUUUUGAAGUAAAGAGGAGCAUCUCAUCUGAACCUAAUGUCUAUCAUGGAUAUUUAACUGCAGUUCUGUGAGUAUCCCAACUUAACCAUGAAGAUGAACUGCAAACUGUAAGUCAUAAGUUUCUCAUUACUCUUGGGCACAUUGAUGUAUUUUGGCUUCCUGGUGAGUUAACCCGUUACCUGAAGGUUGAUCUGAGAUUAAGGAUGUUUUAUUGGUUCAUGGGUUACUUAGGUGUUUGGUAAUGUUGGUUUUAAUGGUUUGUUAAAAUGGGUACAGGCUAGGAAUUCGCGAUAUAAACUAUAUACGAUAUAAACGAUAAAAAAUGGCCUACAAUAGAGAUUUUAGUUAUAUUGCUCUAUCGCGAUAAUGUAUGUUUGACGCAAUCUAUCCAUGACUCGCGAAAUAUAAAGAGCCACGAGCUGCAACCGUCUGCAACGCAUCGUCCGCGACCCGCGAAUUUUAAAAAGAGCCACGAGCUGCAACCAGCUGCAUCGCAUCAUCCGCGACCCGCGAAAUUUAAAGAGCCACGAGCUGCAACCGGCUGCAACCGGCUGCACCGCAUCGUCCGCGACCCGCGUAAUUUAAAAAGCCAUGAGCUCCAACCGGCUUCAACGCAUCAUCGUCAUCUAAGUAAAUAUGGCUGAAAGCAAAAUGGAGGAACUGGUGAUUGCGCUCUUUUCAUGUUCAUUUCAAAAUGAUAUGCGUUCAUUUUGCACUUGUUUUUGUAUGUUUUAAUAGCAAGUAUCUGUGCACACACUUGGAAGAUUUUUCUUUAUUUAAAAUAGCCAUGCCUAAUACUGGACAUAUUUCCCUAAUUCACAGUAUCCGUUUCUUUAUUAACAAGACCCCACCAGUUUUAAUUUCAUUAAGAGAAGUAUACGUCAUUACACAGAAGAUUUUUUUCUUUUUUAAAGUCUCUGCAGCUACAACAUUAUGUUGUAUGAUUAGUUUUGCAAUAAAUGUUCUCAAAACGACAUACUAAGUUUCUUUCUUCUUUUUUUUUUUUUUACAUUUAGCAGUUUGACUUUCCUUAGAGUCUAUGUAACCUGUUCUGAAAUGGUUCUAUUAUGAUUUAUAUAUCGUGAUAUAUAUAUCGUUAUCGCAAUAGGUUGCAAUGUAUAUCGCAAUAUGGGUUUUAGGCCAUAUCGCCCAUCCCUAGUACAGGCUCCAAGUUAUUAUUGUAAGCUGGAGUAAUAGGUUGGGCACAUGAGUGUUGCUUUAAUGAUGAGGGUGUGGUCUGAGUGAGCGGAGGUGCAUACUGGGAUACAGCGCUGUCUGAAUUCUACAGGUCUGUAGACACGCCCCCUCAGGGGAAACCGAGUGUUUGAGAAACCGUUGUGACGUCAGUUACAUGGACUAGAAUGUUCUUUAAGAUGGAGACGGGGAUUCAGAAGGAGAAACACCAGGGGGAGAUGAGGGGACUCCUCAUCUCAACAACUAAAACACAACUUCAGUCUGACGCAGAGAACCAUGGAACACAUUCAACAGUCCCCUCCAGACAUCGUGACUCCUCAGGAACAGUUUCAUUUCCAAGAAGGUCUUAAUUGGGGCCAUUCCAAGAUGGAUCCUGCUCCUCAAGAGCCAUCCCCCUCCACUGGGUGGUCUUCUGAGCAGAUGACCUCCUUCCUGUCCUCAGGCUGACUAAAGCUCUACCGUUUGCAUCUGUGAAGGCCCCUCAUUCAGGAAACCACUCGACUACAAAGACAUGACUUCAGAGACGUUGAAUCAACCUUGGACACAUUUUGGAGACGCCAAGCAUAAUCCAUCACCAAUGUGGGACGCCACUGAAAAAUGUUGCACAUAAUUAACUUCUCUGGAGACAUUGGUUGUUCUGUUCUGGGUGCCCUGGCAGGAGAGCUGGGGUUGGAUGAUGGAACGUUGUUUGGCAUGAGGUUUUUACCCUGCAUGAUUGUUUGCCCUUUUAUGGCUCAGUGGUGUGUGUUUUGGGUUUGACAUGAGAUGGAUGAUUUUUGAACAUCGCUAGGGUUCUGCUGUGUGUGUGUCUCACACCUGGCAUGGGGUUCUACCUGCGUGUCCGGGGUUCUAUGUGUGUGUCCGACUUGCUUUGACAGUGAUAAUGUUCAUACGGGGUUCUGUGUGAUUGGCUUGGGAUAUUGGAAUGGUCAACUAAAUCAUACCUGAUGGACGGCCACAUGUUUACUUAAGGGCCUCCAGUAGACAUGAAGAGCCCAGAGCGACGCUGCGGAGCGAUAUCCAACACACUGGGCCGGAAGGAGGGGUUCCCACUCGAGUGUAAAAGGAUGCAAGCGGUGUGUUCAGAUCAGUGACUUCAAACUAGGAAUACACCAAUCAGGAUCAAUGGAGGAUGGACACCUAAAGGAAUUCCAAAAGGAGAGUCUGAUGUUGGAAAGGGACCUAAAUGGAUAUUCAAGAUAACCUUCAGACCUGUAAUGAGACAGCUCUUCCUACCGGGCUGGAUUGAUGGAGAGCCCUGUGGAUCUUGUCUUGCUCUCAGUUGCACGUCUUCUCAGGCUGAACUGUAUUUGUUUCGGACAGGACUGGCUGAACGAUUGGUUCCCUUAAUCAGAACCAAUCUGGGAACUCCAACUAGUGCGCUCGUCGAGCCGAAGUUGCGCUCUUCGAGCUGAAGUUGCGCUCUUCGAGCUGAAGUUGUGCUCUUCAGCUGAGGAGGUAAGGAAACCUUCACUGGGGCUUCAAGGUGUACAGAAGAGAAUGUUUCAAAGUGAUCCAUGGUACUCUGAUGAGAACCGUUGUGUUCUACUGGUCGGGAGGAAGAACCCUCACAUCUUCCUCUUGGCCUUUCUCCUGUGAGAAUCCUGGCGCCAUCUUGUAGGAUUUUCCAGCUCAUGUAACUGAUGUCACGACAGAUUCUCAAACACUUGGUUACUCCUGAAGGGCGUGUC